GAUGAACGCUGGCGGCGUGCUUAACACAUGCAAGUCGAACGAUGAAGCCCAGCUUGCUGGGUGGAUUAGUGGCGAACGGGUGAGUAACACGUGAGUAACCUGCCCUUAACUCUGGGAUAAGCCUGGGAAACUGGGUCUAAUACCGGAUAGGAGCGUCCACCGCAUGGUGGGUGUUGGAAAGAUUUAUCGGUUUUGGAUGGACUCGCGGCCUAUCAGCUUGUUGGUGAGGUAAUGGCUCACCAAGGCGACGACGGGUAGCCGGCCUGAGAGGGUGACCGGCCACACGGGGACUGAGACACGGCCCAGACUCCUACGGGAGGCAGCAGGGGGGAAUAUUGCACAAUGGGCGCAAGCCUGAUGCAGCGACGCCGCGGGAGGGAUGACGGCCUUCGGGUGGUAAACCUCUUUCAGUAGGGAAGAAGCGAAAGGGACGGUACCUGCAGAAGAAGCACCGGCUAACUACGU
rnacentral:rRNA from 1 species